CCUACGGGAGGCAGCAGUGAGGAAUAUUGGUCAAUGGGCGUAAGCCUGAACCAGCCAAGUCGCGUGAGGGAUGAAGGUUCUAUGGAUCGUAAACCUCUUUUAUAAGGGAAUAAAGUGCGGGACGUGUCCCGUUUUGUAUGUACCUUAUGAAUAAGGAUCGGCUAACUCCGUGCCAGCAGCCGCGGUAAUACGGAGGAUCCGAGCGUUAUCCGGAUUUAUUGGGUUUAAAGGGUGCGUAGGCGGCCUUUUAAGUCAGCGGUGAAAGUCUGUGGCUCAACCAUAGAAUUGCCGUUGAAACUGGGAGGCUUGAGUAUGUUUGAGGCAGGCGGAAUGCGUGGUGUAGCGGUGAAAUGCUUAGAUAUCACGCAGAACGCCGAUUGCGAAGGCAGCUUACCGGCGCUCAACUGACGCUGAGGCACGAAAGUGCGGGUAUCGAACAGGAUUAGAUACCCCUGUAGUC
rnacentral:rRNA from 1 species